ACAAAGUUUUAUACUGACAAUU
rnacentral:snRNA from 1 species